UACGGAGAAUGCGAGCGUUAUCCGGAUUUAUUGGGUUUAAAGGGUGCGCAGGCGGAUUUUUAAGUCAGCGGUCAAAUCGUGGGGCUCAACCCCAUCCAGCCGUUGAAACUGGGGAUCUAGAGUGUGCGAGAGGUAUGCGGAAUGCGUGGUGUAGCGGUGAAAUGCAUAGAUAUCACGCAGAACCCCGAUUGCGAAGGCAGCAUACCGGUGCACAACUGACGCUCAGGCACGAAAGCGUGGGUAUCGAACAGG
rnacentral:rRNA from 1 species